CCUACGGGUGGCAGCAGUGGGGAAUAUUGGACAAUGGGGGAAACCCUGAUGCAGCGACGCCGCGUGAGGGAAGACGUUUUUCGGUUCGUAAACUUCUGUUCUCAGUUAAGAAUAAUAACGGUAGCUAAGGAGCAACCCCCGCCUAAUAACGUGCCAGCAGCCGCGGUAAUCCGUAGGUGGCAAGCGUUGUCCGGAAUUACUGGGUGUAAAGGGAGCGCAGGCGGGAAGCCAAUUCAGCUGUGAAAUCUACGGGCUUAACGUGUAGACUGCAGUUGAAACUGGUUUUCUUGAGUGAAGGAGAGGUUAGCGGAAUUCCGAGUGUAGCGGUGAAAUGCGUAGAUAUUCGGAGGAACACCGGUGGCGAAGGCGGCCAACUGGGCUUUAACUGACGCUGAGGCUCGAAAGUGUGGGGAGCAAACAGGAUUAGAUACCCGUGUAGUC
rnacentral:rRNA from 1 species